CCCGCUGAGGAGCGUUGCGUCCCCGCGGAAGGAACCAGGGGGUCAGGCUCAGCGAAAACAACGGCGCUCGCAUCGG
rnacentral:ncRNA from 2 species